GAAUCUGCCUUUUUGGGCAGGCUACUUAUUUUUAAAUAUCAUUUUUUACCUUUAAGCCUCAAAAUGAAUGAUUAGGUAUUCGCCAGCUUUGGGGGCCAUUUAUUACACAUUUACUUUAGGCUUUCCAAUCGACCUUGUGGUUGCCCCGGGAAACCACGUUGCUGCGUGGUUAAAAAAAAUAUUUGGAGAUCAUCCCAUUCCACAGUAUGAAGUGAACCCACGGACCACAGAGAUUUUAUAUCACCUUUCAGAACGCAACAGAGUCCGGGACAGGGAUGUCUACCUGGUAAUAGAGGACUUGAAACAGAAAGCAAGUGAAUAUGAAUCAGAAGCCAAGCAUCUUCAAGACCUUCUCGUGGAGAGUGUGAAUUUUUCCCCUGCCAAUCUCUCUAGCAUUGGUUCCAGAUAUCUGAAUGCUUUGGUUGACAGUGCAGUGGUCCUUGAAACAAAGGAUACCUCACUAGCUAGUUUUAUCCCUGCAGUGAAUGAUUUGACCUCUAAUCUUUUUCGUACCAAAUCUAAAAAUGAAGAAAUCAAGCUCGAACUGGAAAAACUUGAAAAAAAUCUAACUGCAACUUUAGUAUUAGAAAAAUGUCUGCAAGACUCUUAUGUCCCUGUUUUCAUGCUGUGGCCUUCUUUAAGUUUCUUGUGCCAGAGAUUAGAGCCAGUAGCUCCAGCGUGUGUAUCUGCACAAGUAAUUUGGCGGGAUCUCAAAAAAGCAGAGUUGCAUCUGUCUACAGAAAGGGCCAAAGUUGACCAUCGUCUUCAGAACAUGGACUUUCUGAAAGCAAAGUCAGAGGAGUUCAGAUAUGGAAUCAAAACUGCAGAGGAGCAGCUUUCAGCCAGAGGCAUGGAUGCGUCUCUGUCUCAUCAGUCUCUAGUAGCAUUAUCAGAGAAAUUGGCAGAGUUAAAACGACAGACUAUUCCUUUGAAGAGAAAAUUGGGGUCCUAUUUAGAUUUAAUGCCGAAAAAUUAGCCAAAUAUGGUGAUGCAUGCUUGUAGUCCUACCUACUCAGGAGGCUCAGCCAGGAAGAUCACUUGAGCCUGGGAGUUGGAGGUUGCGGUGAGCUAUGAUCAUGGCACUGUACUCUAGCCUGGACAAUGGAAUAAGAGUUGGGUGGUUUCAAGACCAGCCUGAGCAAGAAUGAGACCCCGUCUCUACUAAAAAAAAUUGACAAAAACUAGCUGGGCCUGGUGGUGGGCACCUGUAGUUCCUGCUACUCAGUAGGCUGAGGCAAGAAGAUUUCUUGGACACAGUGGGCUAAGGUUGCUGUGAGCUGUGAUGCCACAGCACUCUACCUGGGGCAACUGAGUGAGUCUCUGUCUCAAAAAAAAAAAAAAGUGCUGAAUAUCGGUAUUAUAUGUACAUUGGAUAUUCCCUCUAUAAGAUUUUUUGCCUUUUGAAAAGAUUGUGAUACUUUUUGCCCCUUAAGUCUGGAUCGAGGCAAUAUAACCUUUCCUUGUUUUAUUUUUCUCUAAAAGAAUCCAUCUCUUGCUCAAGUGAAAAUUGAAGAAGCAAAACGAGAAUUAGAUUCCAUUGAAGCUGAACUUACAAAGAAAGUAGAUAUGAUGGAACUAUGACCAGAGCCAAAAUAAACAACCUUUCCCCUAACAAAGUCAGUUUAAGUUUUUUCCCUUUGUUGUUUCUUACUAAUAUAAUUUCUGUGUUCUUAGAUGAGAUAAUAAUGUCAUUGACAAAAUAAUGGUUUCUUGUUAUAUAUUGCAUUUUGGUGCCCAAAUACAAAGUUUGCAUAUUAAAAAACCCUUUUCUCUUA